rnacentral:rRNA from 1 species
GACGAACGCUGGCGGCGUGCUUAACACAUGCAAGUCGAACGGAAAGGCCCUGCUUUUGUGGGGUGCUCGAGUGGCGAACGGGUGAGUAACACGUGAGUAACCUGCCCUUGACUUUGGGAUAACUUCAGGAAACUGGGGCUAAUACCGGAUAGGAGCUCCUGCUGCAUGGUGGGGGUUGGAAAGUUUCGGCGGUUGGGGAUGAACUCGCGGCUUAUCAGCUUGUUGGUGGGGUAGUGGCUUACCAAGGCUUUGACGGGUAGCCGGCCUGAGAGGGUGACCGGCCACAUUGGGACUGAGAUACGGCCCAGACUCCUACGGGAGGCAGCAGUGGGGAAUAUUGCACAAUGGGCGGAAGCCUGAUGCAGCAACGCCGCGUGCGGGAUGACGGCCCUCGGGUUGUAAACCGCUUUCGCCUGUGACGAAGCGAGAGUGACGGUAAUGGGUAAAGAAGCACCGGCUAACUACGUG